AUGGACAAGGAGGAGGAGGGCGCGUUUGAAUUUGAGGAAGAGGGGGUUUCUGUCACCUGGAAGGACAACCCUUUUACUAGUAAAAUGCCAAUGCAAGGGGGGUCUGCGCUCGACGUGGAGGGUAUGGAGAAGAAGGGCCUUCUUCGCAUGCCCCCCAUGGAGCCUUUAGUCGCAGCGCAUCUGCAUCCAAAGUGUAUGGCUGCAAACCCAACAUUGCCAUCAAAAGUGGACCGCUUCCAGUCAAGCAUGACGGAGAGCACUUACAAGGCAGUCAUUCUCUCAGUCCGGGCCAUGAAAGUCAUCUCUUUGCUCACCGCAUACCAGGCGGAGCUACAAGACGAGGUGUCUGUCAUGCCAAGUCAGACACAGUGGGAAGAAAUCUAUGUUGUCACAGAUCUCUCGCUCCAUCUUCAGAGAUGUGACGUUCAGGCUGCGGGCAAGGUCAUGGCCACAGUUGUCAUUGUGGAUGCUGGCUUAAUUUGGCGAAUCUCUCCGACAGAGAAAAGGAAGCCUCUUAGAUGCACCGGUCGUCACAGAAGGCAUUAUCGGUUCAGCGCUGACAUGGAUGCAGAAGAGAUGCAAAGAGAAGAAAAGGGAUGACGAGGCCUUGCAGAUCUGCAUGCCAAGAAAGACGCCGACUGUGCCCCUGCCACCUCCCUGGCAGGCUUUUGCGCAGGCUACAGCUCGCCCACCCCCCAGCUUUCGCAUUCCUAGGCGACAGAGACCACAAGUGAAUGCAACAACAGUUCAGAGCGUCGCACCUGAGCAGAAACCCGCCUGGCCCAGGAAAAAUUUUCCGCCUGCGACAGCUCAGUCGGACCAGCUGGCCCCUCACCCUACCCAGGUGAUGAGGAGGAAGAAGAAGGCCAUUUGAGGGGGUCUUCCUGAGUCGCCCCGUUCGCUAGUCCCCCACCCUCAGUUGUUCAGCGUUCAGCAGAAAACGAGUUCAGAUGUUUACAGAUGUUCUGUGGGGAAACCAGACCCAAGUUGGUCCAGGGGAUGCAGAGCAGUGAAGAGAACGAGAGACGAUGCAGUGGUGUACACCCACCCACUAGUCACAAGAACUUUACAUACUCAAAGUUCAAUAAAGUUUUCAUUGAUUCCCCCACAAAUGUUGCAAAACAUAAUGCCCAAAAAAUGUUGCAAAACACUUUAUCAGAACACAACGUAACACCACCUUGUGGAGUCUUCACUCCGCUGAAGGUGGUGAGCCACGUAAACUCUGUCCAAUCGCUAAGUGUUUGCGCAUGCGCAGUACAGACCACAA
ensembl:lncRNA